GUGGGGAAUUUUGGACAAUGGGCGCAAGCCUGAUCCAGCAAUGCCGCGUGCAGGAAGAAGGCCUUCGGGUUGUAAACUGCUUUUGUACGGAACGAAACGGUCCUGGCUAAUAUCCGGGGCUAAUGACGGUACCGUGAGAAUAAGCACCGGCUAACUACGUGCCAGCAGCCGCGGUAAUACGUAGGGUGCGAGCGUUAAUCGGAAUUACUGGGCGUAAAGCGUGCGCAGGCGGUGCUGUAAGACAGGCGUGAAAUCCCCGGGCUCAGCCUGUGAAUUGCGCUUGUGACUGCAGUGCUGGAGUGCGGCAGAGGGGGAUGGAAUUCCGCGUGUAGCAGUGAAAUGCGUAGAUAUGCGGAGGAACACCGAUGGCGAAGGCAAUCCCCUGGGCCUGCACUGACGCUCAUGCACGAAAGCGUGGGGAGCAAACAGGAUUAGAUACCCCGGUAGUCC
rnacentral:rRNA from 1 species